rnacentral:rRNA from 1 species
GCUGGCGGCGUGCUUAACACAUGCAAGUCGAACGAACCUUCGGGUUAGUGGCGGACGGGUGAGUAACGCGUGAGAAUCUGCCCUCAGGAGGGGGAUAACGGUUGGAAACGACCGCUAAUACCCCAUAUGCCUACUGGUGAAAUGAAUUUCGCCUGAGGAUGAGCUCGCGUCUGAUUAGCUAGUUGGUGAGGUAAUGGCUCACCAAGGCUUCGAUCAGUAGCUGGUCUGAGAGGAUGAUCAGCCACACUGGGACUGAGACACGGCCCAGACUCCUACGGGAGGCAGCAGUGGGGAAUUUUCCGCAAUGGGCGAAAGCCUGACGGAGCAACGCCGCGUGAGGGACGAAGGCCUCUGGGCUGUAAACCUCUUUUCUCAAGGAAGAAGAUAUGACGGUACUUGAGGAAUAAGCCACGGCUAAUUCCGUGCCAGCAGCCGCGGUAAUACGGGAGUGGCAAGCGUUAUCCGGAAUUAUUGGGCGUAAAGCGUCCGCAGGCGGCUUUUCAAGUCUGCUGUUAAAGCGUGGAGCUUAACUCCAUCAUGGCAGUGGAAACUGAAAGGCUUGAGUAUGGUAGGGGCAGAGGGAAUUCCCGGUGUAGCGGUGAAAUGCGUAGAUAUCGGGAAGAACACCAGUGGCGAAGGCGCUCUGCUGGGCCAUUACUGACGCUCAUGGACGAAAGCCAGGGGAGCGAAAGGGAUUAGAUACCCCUGUAGUCCUGGCCGUAAACGAUGAACACUAGGUGUCGGGGGAAUCGACCCCCUCGGUGUCGUAGCUAACGCGUUAAGUGUUCCGCCUGGGGAGUACGC